rnacentral:misc_RNA from 1 species
AGAUGCCAAAAUAGAAGAUUUCCUGUGGAAGGAAAGUGCUAUCAUACUCGCCAAAAUUUUGCUUCCUCAAAUAUUUGAGAAAAUGGCGAUGCAAGAUUUGAGAGCUCUUGUUUCAGACUGGUCAAUGAUAAAUAUACACUUAAGUGGAGAAUCAAUUGAAAUACCUCACCAUUCCAUUGGUUUUCUCUUAGAAGGAUUUGUGAGAUCCCAUGGCUUUCAAGAAGAAUUGAUUACAUCUCCUGCAGCGCUCUUACCUCGGCACGGAAAUCAGAGCUUUGGAAAUGCACAUGGAAAUCAAAACAUUCAAAAUGAAGAAAUAAAUGGUGCCAGGACAGCCAGUUUCUCUCAUGAAAGAUCCCGGUAUCAAGUUGAGACGAGAGCAAGAGUGAUAAUUUUUGACAUUGCAGCUUUUGAAACUGCUACCGCUCUGCUGAGAAGGUCAUCUUCUUUCAUACCGCAUACAGGUGAUCAUCCCCANACCUCUAAGCAGAGAACGUGGUCUUAUGAGUUGGCCUGAAAAUUUCUACAAGGAAAAACGGCACAAGCAGAAUCUUGAAAAUGGACAAGAAAAUAGUUUGCCUGCAAGAGCAAUGCAGCUGAGCAUUUUUGGCAGCAUGGUUGACGUGCAACGGCGUGCCCAUUGUUCUUCAAGCAGUCUAUACCAGCGAUCACAUAGCAUGUUCUCACGAGCUGCAUCACUUCGUGGCCGUCCGCUAGUUUCUGUUAGAUCAGAAGGAUCUAAUACUUUAAGGAAGAACCUUCAUGUGAAAAGGUUUUCGCGGAAUGUUACUGCUCUCCCACAGCAGAGGGCAGACACAAAUGAGAGCCAUGUCUUGGAUUAUUCUAGUGACGAAUCUGGUGCCGAAGAUGAUCACAUAAUAAGAAUCGACUCACCAAGUAGGCUUUCUUUCCGCCUGGCUACCUAAAUUUGCAUUCCCUGUUAUCCCCAUCGUAGAUAUUUGUGUUUACAUGAAUUUUUGUGUUCCUACUUUAAAAAUUUGUUUGUACAAAGGCAUCUGAAUAAAUAAGAUGGCUCCUCAAGCCGUCUGAUUUAGGAAAAGUAGCUCAAUUGGUGCUGAGCAUGAGAUUCAAUUUUGUACCUUUGCUUCCAUCAUCUAUGAUAGAACCAGUAACCUUGUUUUAAA